GAUGAACGCUAGCUGCAGGCCUAAUACAUGCAAGUCGGACGGGAUUCGGGAGCUUGCUCCUGAUGAGGGUGGCGCACGGGUGCGUAACACGUAUGCAACCUACCUUUACCAGGGGGAUAGCCUCUCGAAAGAGAGAUUAACACCGCAUAAAAUUAGUUUAUGGCAUCAUAAAUUGAUCAAAUAUUUAUAGGGUAAAGAUGGGCAUGCGGAACAUUAGCUAGUUGGUAAGGUAACGGCUUACCAAGGCGACGAUGUUUAGGGGAUCUGAGAGGAUGACCCCCCACACUGGUACUGAGACACGAACCAGACUCAUACGGGAGGCAGCAGUAAGGAAUAUUGGUCAAUGGGCGCAAGCCUGAACCAGCCAUGCCGCGUGCAGGAAGACGGCCCUACGGGUUGUAAACUGCUUUUGUACGGGAAUAAACCCUGAUACGUGUAUCAGGCUGAAUGUACCGUAAGAAUAAGGAUCGGCUAACUCCGUGCCAGCAGCCGCGGUAA
rnacentral:rRNA from 1 species